CCUGCGUCGAUUUAUAAGACCAGGUUCAAAAGACUAGAGCGUAGCAGGGAGGCUGUGCGGACGGAGGGAACAAAAACGGCGUGGUGAUGUGAUGUUUGUUUGAUAAGUGAGUCUGGGAAGCUUCAGUGAGAAUCAGAUAUACAGUAUUGAAGUUUAAAAGUUUAUUUACAGAUGACAUUUUUUCAUAUACUGGGUUUUCUGGACUAUAAAUUGCACGCCGAGUAAAGGUCCUUACACACUAGGAACGACGCAAAUAUACGAUGCAAAGUUGCGAAAUAUUCAGAGGCGAAUUUUGACGCGCCUGACUAUACAUAUCAAGCGUGAUGCGAUUUUGCGACGAUUUUGGCUAGAAAAGCUGGAAACGUCAUCACACGCUCAAGCCAAACGGUCAGCACUUAUAGCCAAUCAGAGGUGAAGGAGGGCAGGACCUUCCCUUAACAACCUACAGCAUCGGCUGGAAGCGAGAGGACAAAUAUGGAGUCUACUUCAUCUUCACGUGAUGGCGAAUUGGUACUCCUUUUGCUUUCUCAAAAGAAAAAGAAAUGUAGCACAUGGGGGGAUCAAAUAUUACAAAAAAGAAGAGAACUUGGUGAGUUUCACUGCUUAUUUUCGGAUGGCUGUUGGAUGAUUUGAAAUUCUGCUGAAACAAUUCGCUCCAAGUUUGAAGAGGCAGAGGACUAGACACUAGUGUUGAGAUGGCUGUCUGUCAUGAUAGCAUGUACUGAGUCUGGGCCAGUACCAGAUAAGCACAUUAAACUAGGUUAACAACCGUUAGCUUACGUUAGCACAGAUGAAAGUUAAAUGAAAGUAAUUUGAUAACUGAUUUGAGCCAAAUUUAAUGGAAUUGGGAAUACCGGUACAGAGUAGAAAAUUUUAAUAAAACGUUAAAAGUAAAACAAAUCAUGGCUUCAUAUGUAGCAUUGAUGGAUUGAAACAUUGAAUAGAAAGCCCCUAUUGUCUUGAACCAUGUACAAGGAAACUGGAAAAUAAGUAAGAGCUAAAGUCGUAUCUAAAUAAUCUAAUAGAAUCUAAAAUAAUCUAAUCUAGGGACAUCCAUGCAUUUACGGUUACACAUUAAAUAAUUACUAAAGGGAAAAAUGUGUAUUUCUUAAUAAAAAAUCUAAUGCAGAGAAUGUUCUGUGGACUCUAUGGCUGUGAUUGCACUCUGCAUGGUAGAUAAUGUAUAUUUUCACUAAGUGCAGUAAAUAGUUGGGUAUAUUAUGGACAUUUCACAUGAAAACUUUUAAAGUGGAUUGAGAGGAAAUGUAUCCUGCACAGUGAUUACAGAAAAAUGACAGUCUGCUCCGCAUAAACUAAGAGGAGGUGAAAGUCGAGGUUAAUGUAAAUUUGAUUUCUACUUCGUGUUAACGACUUAUUCAGGGAGUCAAACUCGCACCCUGUCAGUAGAACUGUCACAGAGUCUAUAUUAGGUACGUUACAUGAUAAUUUACAUGUAUAAGAUGUCCUAUUAUGAAUUCAAACAUGUAAAAACAAUUUGCCGACAGGUUCAAGCAAACUAAAAGAGAAAGAGCUACAAUUGUCGAUGCUUUCUCUCACACUUCCAAUAAAGAGCUUUUUACUUUGCUGUCCUCUCCGGCAGUCCCGCUGCAUACAUGCCUCUUCAGCCAGAGUGACUUAAGUGUUUCAAAGUACCUGAUGCAAGAACAGCAGGUAGCCUUGGGCUGAACGUAAACCCACGCUUUCAAUUGUGUUGAUGCAUCUGUUUAUGUUUUUCCAUUGAUUUCCACGGAGCUCGCAGAGGCUCUGAACUGAGGGGUUCGCAGCGGAGACGAGAGCGCUGCUGCAUUCAGAGCAGAGAGAGUGUGAUUUCUAGACACACACGCGAGGAAAAAGUGAUGUUUUGAUCUUAUAGAGAACAAUAUUUCUAAAUGGUGUUUCGUAAAAAGUUAUUAAUCAGCUUAACCUUGACUCUUGAAUGGUAUGAGAAGCAGUAAAGCUCUUUAAGUACGCAGAAAAACAUGUUAGUUUAUAGUGAUUUAUCCCCAGACCCAAAUUUUUCGGCCUCACUUUGUAAGCUGGAUGUACGGUCCAUCUAUUUCUAAAGUCAGAAGUUCAUUCAGGUAUCUACCCACAGAAACACAGACACCCUCGUAUUGUACACAUACACGUUAACGCUCCCCAGCUCAUUAAUCACUGCCAGGAGGGGGUCUGACAGAGUCUCACCUCUUCUUCCUCCAGAAUAAAACACUCCCCCGCUCUCUCCCCCAGAGCCGAUGAACCCCCAAACCUCACUCCGGUUUUUGACGCUUUAUCUCAGAUUUCACCGCCUUCGCCCAGUUUUCCAUGUGUCGCGGUCUGCACAGCAGUGUGUGGUUUGACGUCGAUCCAAUUAUCAUACUCAGGCUGUUAUUAUGCGGUGAACAGAUGAAGCAGAGAAUGGGCUCUUCAGAAUUAAAGACGAGGGUUUUUGUUUUCUGAAAAUCAGGCCCUUCUUUCCCCCGCUAAGAGAUUUUCAAUCAUAGAAAAUGUCGUGUACUGUUUCUGGGGACUGACAUUUGCUGAGUUUCUUUUUUUAUGUUCUCUGCACAUUACUUUUUCUGAGACAUCGUCUGCAUCUUUUCCAGAUUUUUGACAUUUUGCUUUACUUGUUUCUGCAGGGACAAACAACCUGAAGACACAGGAGUAUCUCAGGCCUCCUUUGAAAUCUGACUGGCCACCCAAGAGGCUUCUCUAAAAUGCAUUUCUUCCUUUUCUUUUUAAAGAAUGAAUAAUUAAAGGGAUAUUUCACUGUUUUUGAAGCAGAGUUUUACAGUAUAAGUGUCCUGUCAGCUCAGCCAAUUCAGAUUAAAAAUGAGAAACCGCACGACUGCAUGCAUGUCUACAUCACAUCCAUUAAAAGUGCAAAACAAGAUAAUUUUUGUGGUGGUUAGAUUAAGGCUGGGACCUAAAAUUUACCGAUGCCGAAAUUUACGACGAUAACCGACAUCUUUUUUCCCAUAUCAAUAUUUUUGGUGUCAAAUAAAUAAAUAAAUAAUGAGCUCCUAUAAGGAGUUUUUUUAUGUUUAUGAAAUUGACGAGAAUUCCUCAUGAUGACAGAGAAUCUUGAAACCCUUAUUUUUAUCGUCUGAAACCCACGUGAGAGGGUAGAUCCAAGCCCUGCAGCCGCCCUAGUUUUACAGUUUUCACCAAAAUAUUCGCAUUUGACCGUCAAACAUGAGCAGGAUGAGAUUUUUCGUCAUAAAUCAAAGCUCAGACUUAUAGCAUACAGUAAUAAGUAAAGUGUGCUCCGUCCAUUGCGUAUAAUACCCUCAACUAGGGCUGGGCGAUAAACCAAAAAUUUACCGUUACCAAAAUUUAUGACAAAAACCAACAUCAUUUUGCCCAUAUCAGUAUUUUUCGGUGUCAAAAAAAUGAAUAAAUAAAUAAAAGUUGGUUUUGUAUGUGUGUAUGUAGGCUAUGGUCUCAUGUCCCUUUAAGACGCUGUCCUACGUCAGAGAUGUGACUCCACCCCAUCCAGUCUGUAACAAAGAGGGAAAGACAGGAGAGGAGAUGGAGGACGGUUCAAAAGUUUUAGGCUGAAGUAGACGAAGUUAAUGUGGGAGGGGGUGAGCAGCUUGUGGAGUAGUUAUCGUCUAUUUAUUGUUAUCGAAGUGAACUGCUCAAUAUAUCGUGAUGUUGAUUUGAGGCCAUAUCACCCAGCCCUAGGUAAAAUGCUGAAAAUGGUCUCUCUUGAUGAGUGUUUGGGUCAGAAUCUCUCAAAAUUAGUGAAAAUGUACCAUCUACACGGCCCAGUCUGAAAGCUGUAGCCUAGUUAGCCUAGCCAAGUUGGAUUUUGUUUGUUUGUUUAUUCAAACUUGAACACUAAUCGAAAACUAACAUGUCAGUAACAUAUAAAAGGGUCUCCAGCCCCUUUUUCUUAUAUUUUUCAGUCUACUUUAUUUGAUGGAAAUUAUAAUAACCAUGUAACAUGAAAAUUGAAUAUAUUCUAUUUUAAAAGACGGACAUACACAAGGGUUGGCAUAGCAACAAAAUACCAAUUUCCUCACUUAAUUGGAAACACGGCAAUAGUUUCAGCUUUCACAUACAUGAUCAUUGCCUGUGCAGCACCUUUCCUGUCAUGCAUAUUAUGUUGUUGAGUAAGCCUAAUAAAUACAUGCUCAUUCACCUACUUUACCAAUUAUAUGAGGGUGAAAUUUCAGCUGAAAAACAAAUGAUAUAAAAUCACCCCGGGCUGUGUAAUUGCACAUAUUUUCAUCUGAACGUGUAUUUCGUGAAAUAACAUUUCAAACGAUUUCAGUUACGCUCAACUUCACCAGACAUCUUCAAUCCAUCACAGAUUGCCUGGUUAGAUUGUAACAGGAUUACAGAGGAAAAAUGGGAGACAGCGUGGACGUGGUAAUGUAAGGUUGGAUAAAAAAAGAUGAAAAUGAGGGAUGUACAGCGUGGAAGGGAUGAAUAAUAUCCCACUGCCCUAUUUUCUCCUCUCUUUUCGCCCUCUGGCUCGUCUCAGCUUUGUUUUUAUCGCUUUUUUGCAUAAGUGCAACAAAAUGCUUUCAUUAAUGAUGCAUCACACAUAAUGAUCCUCUUCAUUUCCAUUUCUCGCCCCUCUGUGAAGACAAGAAUCACAGUGGGUUGUCUUUCAGUGGGCCUAUAUCAUUAAUUAGACAGCCUCCAAGCAGGGUGUCGCUUACUGUAUACACUCAUGUCUGUGGUGCAACAUGACUCCAUCCUUAGUGUAAAUGAAGUGUCAUAUUUCCAUGCAAAUUGCAGAGAUAAGCUAAAAAAAAAAAAAAAAAAACACUAAACACACAAACAAAGGCUUGGGAAACAGUUCGUAAAGCAAACAAACACGGUUAUACUCAGCGCCGUAUCGUCUGCAUAGAGCAGAAAUGAUUUUAAAGCCACACAACCGCAAGAGUCAAAUCAAGUUCACUGAGGAAUAAAGAGAGAAAAUAAGACCAUGACAGGAUCAUACUGAACUUUAGGUAGGAAAGAUUGGAAGCAACUAUUACGCCUUGGGCAGGAAGUGUAACUAGUUUUUAGACUGAAAAAUUAAAAGUAAUAACACAGCACACAUUUGGAGGGACCGAAAAAUUACCAUGAUGGAAAUUUAAUUGAAAUUUCUGGAUCAUAACCUCCAUUAUUUGGGCCAGGAAGCCAUUAGUAAAGUGUUUUCGCCUCUUUUAAUUCAAGGCAGUGUCAUAUUUUCCUGUAAUAGCGAAUGCUCACAUCACCAAGAGCAUCAGUCUUACAGCUUCUUCAUCUCUAUGCGACGCUGAUCUGUCCACCUCUUUGCAUUAGAGGAAAGUGUUUAGAGUGACUCAGUGUCUUCUUCCAGCUGAUUUGUCGUCUAUCAUGACAAAGAGCUUGUUUACUCUGAGGGAGUAAUUCUAUUCUCAAAUGAUAAAUGCAGUUUCGUUGUUUUAGUAAAUAUAAAUCCACUGUCCAUCCUAAGAAUUUAGGUACUUUUCCCUGCGCUUCAAGGAACAAAUAUUUGAGCUAGGGAAUUAAAUUGCACUAAAAAAAAAAACCUCGACAUUGGUUCCAGGUGACUUUCCUUUAGCUCCUGGCUUCACUGGGCAUCAGUGCACUAAGAACAGACCACCAUACCAUGGGGACCCCCCCUGCUCUGCUCCGCCUGUUCACCCAGCCUUCCAUGACCAUCAACAUCAGCAGCAGCAGAGCCAGGAGUGAGGCAGUAUUCCCCAAACCUGA